rnacentral:hammerhead_ribozyme from 1 species
GCACAACUGACGAGUCCCGAACAGGACGAAACAGCUGUCCAGUGC